UACGAGAGGCCCAAACGUUAUUCGGAAUUACUGGGCUUAAAGAGUUCGUAGGCGGCAUUGCAAGUAGGGUGUGAAAGCCCUCGGCUCAACCGAGGAAUUGCGCUCUAAACUGCAGUGCUCGAGGAACCUAGAGGUGAGCAGAACAGAUGGUGGAGCGGUGAAAUGCGUUGAUAUCAUCUGGAAUACCGGAGGCGAAGGCGGCUCACUGGGGGUUUUCUGACGCUAAGGAACGAAAGCCAGGGUAGCGAACGGG
rnacentral:rRNA from 1 species